GCAAGAAUUUCGCAGGAUCCAAAUGCUGCAGCUGAUUUCGACUGCCCUUGCCCCAGUAAACUGUGCCAUGUUGCUAUAUUUAUCGCUUUGGUAAUGCUACAUAGCGUUUUGUGGCGAAGCUUAAUUCCUGUGGAAGAAACUGGAUCAUGUCCAGAGCCUUAACCCACAUUAAAGUGGGAACCACGACCACGUGCGGAUCUCCUUUUUUCUGAAUGACACCUCC